rnacentral:misc_RNA from 1 species
GGAAGUAAAAGCCGUAACAAGGUCUCCGUAGGUGAACCUGCGGAGGGAUCAUUACAGAGUUCAUGCCCUCACGGGUAGAUCUCCCACCCUUGUGUAUUCAUACCUUUGUUGCUUUGGCAGGCCGCUGGGCUUCGGCCUGGCCACCGGCUCCCGGGCUGGUGCGCGCCUGCCAGGGGACCUCUAAACUCUGUUUGUCAGUGUCGUCUGAGUAUUAUACAAUCGUUAAAACUUUCAACAACGGAUCUCUUGGUUCUG